CGGUGGAGCAUGUGGUUUAAUUCGAUGCAACGCGAAGAACCUACCUGCCCUUGACAUGCCAAGAAUCCCGCAGAGAUGUGGGAGUGCCUUCGGGAGCUUGGACACAGGUGCUGCAUGGCUGUCGUCAGCUCGUGUCGUGAGAUGUUGGGUUAAGUCCCGCAACGAGCGCAACCCUUGUCUCUAGUUACUAACAGUUCGGCUGAGCACUCUAGAGAGACUGCCGGUGUUAAACCGGAGGAAGGUGGGGAUGACGUCAAGUCCUCAUGGCCUUUAUGUCCAGGGCUGCACACGUGCUACAAUGGCGUGAACAAAGUGACGCGACUUUGCGAAAAGAAGCAAAUCACAUAAAUCACGCCCCAGUUCAGAUCGAAGGCUGCAACUCGCCUUCGUGAAGCCGGAAUCGCUAGUAAUCGCGGGUCAGCAACACCGCGGUGAAUGUGUUCCUGAGCCUU
rnacentral:rRNA from 1 species